AUUGAACGCUGGCGGCAGGCCUAACACAUGCAAGUCGAGCGGCUGAACGGUGCGUGCUCCUUGUUUCAGCUGCCGACUGGCGGGUGAUUCCUAGGAAUCUCCCUGUUUAUUUGGUCUAGCGUCCGAAAACAGGGACUCAUACCGCAAUCGCCCAUAGGGCCAACGUGUGGAAUCAUCGGACCUCACGCUCUUAGAUGAUCCUAUGUCGGAUUAGCUAGUUGGCUGGGUAAAGGCCUACCAAGGCGACGAUCCGUAACUGGUCUGAGAGGAUGAUCAGUCACACUGGAACUGAGACACGGUCCAGACUCCUACGGGAGGCAGCAGUGGGGAAUAUUGGACAAUGGGCGAAAGCCUGAUCCAGCCAUGCCGCGUGUGUGAAGAAGGUCUUCGGAUUGUAAAGCACUUUAAGUUGGGAGGAAGGGCAGUAGGUUAAUACCUUGCUGUUUUGACGUUACCAAAAGAAUAAGCACCGGCUAACUUCGUG
rnacentral:rRNA from 1 species